rnacentral:rRNA from 1 species
UUCAUGGAGAGUUUGAUCCUGGCUCAGGACGAACGCUGGCGGCGUGCCUAAUACAUGCAAGUCGAGCGGACCGACGGGAGCUUGCUCCCUUAGGUCAGCGGCGGACGGGUGAGUAACA